GACAGAGGGGGCAAGCGUUGCUCGGAAUUACUGGGCGUAAAGGGCGCGUAGGCGGGAUGGCAAGUCGGUCGUGAAAUCCUUCGGCUCAACCGAAGAACGUCGAUCGAUACUGCUGUUCUUGAGGGUUGCAGAGGAGACUGGAAUUCCCGGUGUAGCGGUGAAAUGCGUAGAUAUCAAGAGGAACACCUGAGGUGAAGACGGGUUGCUGGGCUGACACUGACGCUGAGGCGCGAAAGCUAGGGUAGCAAACGGG
rnacentral:rRNA from 1 species